GGAUUACACUGGCUGUUGAGUAGGUGGGACGCAAGCGUCCCACCUAGCCCAUAGAGGUUAAACAAGUCGUUUUUCAAUUUCACUACACCAAUUUAAACUAUUUUGUGUAUGUCCAUUACAUGAUAUCCAAAUAAAUAUCCAUUUAAAUUACAGGUUGUAAUGCAACAAAAUAGGAAAAAUGCCAAGGGUGAUGAAUAAUUUUGCAAGGCACUGUAUAUGCCUGUGCUGCUCCAGAGUUGGAGGUGUGAUCUUUUUCCAUUGGUAAUAAACCCAACCACUUACCUUGACUUGCAACAGUUCCAGUGUUGGAUAGCCAUAGCCAGAAAGCUAACAUAGCAUCCCUCUCAAUUUAGCCGGAUGAUUGAGUAGGCUAAACCAGCUAUCUGCAUUCACUUAGGGAAAGUGAAAGUGAAAAAAAGACAAGGAAAUAUAGCUAGCUGUAACGCCCUGGCCAUAGAGAGGGGUUUUUGUUCUUUAUUUUGGUUAGGCCAGGGUGUUACAUUGGGUGGCCGUUCUAUGUUCAUUUUUCUAUGUUUUUGUAUUUCUUUGUUUUGGGCCGUGUGUGGCUGGCUCCCAAUCAGGCACUGCUGUAGUUCGUUGUUGCUGAUUGGGAGUCACACAUAAGGAGCUUGUUUUUCCUUUGGGUUUUGUGGGGGAUUGUUUCUGUUUAGUGUCUUGCACCUGACAGUACUGUUUGGCUGUCAGUUUUGUUGUUUUGUUGUAUCGUGUUCGUUCGUAAAGUAAAACUCAAGAUGAACACUAACUCCGCUGCACCUUGGUCUACUUCCACAGACAGCCGUUACACUAGCUCUCUCUCGCUCUCUCGCUUCUCCUUCAUUUUGGAAGAAAUUAAUUUGUUCAAAACUGUUCAACUACUGUCUUUCUCUCUCUUUGACACAACUACUCAUCACAUUGCAUACGCUACAGUGCUAGCUAGCGGUAGUUUAGCCUUUCAGUACUACAUUCAUUCUCUGAUCCUUUGAGUGGGUGAACAACAGGUCAGUUCAUGCUGCAAGAGCUCUGUAGGUUGGAGGACGUCCUCCGGAAGAUGUCAUAAUUACUGUGUAAGUCUAUGGAAGGGGGUGAGAACCAUGAGCCUCCUAGGUUUUGUACUGAAGUCAAUGUACCCAGAGAAGGAUGGAAGCUAUCUGUCCUCCAGCUACACCAUGGUGCAACUCUACAGAGUACUGUUGAGGCAACCAUAGACCUUCAUUGGAAAACAGUGUGUUUUAAUCAAUACUUUGACAUGUCUCAGUCUCCAGUAUUUAUGCUGCAAUAGUUUGUGUCGGGGAGAUAGGAUCAGUCUGUUAUAUCUGGAGUAUUUCACCUGUCUUAUCCGGUGUCCUGUGUGAAUUUAAAUGUAAGCUCAAUCUAACUCUCUCUCUCUCUUUCUCUUUUUCACCCUUUUCCCUCUUCUCUCGGAGGACAUGAGCCCUAGGACCAUGCCUCAGGACUACCUGGCCUGAUGACUCCUUGCUGUCCCCAGUCCACGUGGUCAUGCUGCUGCUCCAGUUUCAACUGUUCUGCCUGCGGCUAUGGAACCCUGACCUGUUCACCUGAUGGGGACCUUGUCCCGGACCUGCUGUUAUCUACUCUCUCUCUCUACCGUACCUGCUGUCUCUGACUCUGAAUGAUCAGCUAUGAGAAGCCAACUGACAUAUACUCCUGAGGUGCUGACCUGUUGCACCCUCUACAACCACUGUGAUUAUUAUUAUUUGACCCUGCUCGUCAUCUAUGAACGUUUGAACAUCUUGGCCAUGUACUGUUAUAAUCUCCACCCGGCGCAGUCAGAAGAGGACGGGCCACCUCUCAGAGCCUGGUUCCUCUCUAGGUUACUUCCUAGGUUCUUGCCUUUCUAGGGAGUUUUUCCUAGCCACCGUGCUUCUACAUCUGCAAUGCUUGCUGUUUGGAGUUUUAGGCUGGGUUUCUGUAUAGCACUUUGUGACAUCGGCUGAUGUAAAAAGGGAUUUAUAAAUACAUUUGAUUGAUAUAUUUAGUAUAUUUUUAUCUAAAAAGUUAGUUAGUUAAAUACAUGUUAAAUAAAAUGUUCAUUAAAUAAGAGUUUGU
rnacentral:lncRNA from 1 species